CACAGAGUUAGCCGUGGCUUCCUCUGAUGGUACCGUCAAAGUUACUGCGUGUUAGGCAGCAACUGUUCGUCCCAUCUGACAGGAGUUUACAAUCCGAAGACCUUCAUCCUCCACGCGGCGUUGCUGCGUCAGGCUUUCGCCCAUUGCGCAAGAUUCCUCA
rnacentral:rRNA from 1 species